UCUUUCUUCUCUCUCUAAAAACUCAUCUUCUAAAUAUUGCUCUGCAUUCUCUCUAAAAUACCACUCUGUUGAACCGUUCAAUUUUUGAAUAGGUGGUGCUCAAACGUUCACCGUGUCAAGGGCUCCGUAACUGACCGAACGAGUUCUUGUUCCAAUCGGGUGUCUUUGAAUUUUUCUGUGAGGAGCACUAUUUAGAUCAUCACUGUCAAGUAAACUGUGAAGUUUUCCAGGAGCAGAUGUGGUUGAAGAAAUACCUCUGGAGCAAGAGCUGGAGGAGAAUGAUGCUGCUGCACAGUCUGCGUAGGAUUUAGAUAUCUAAACUCUUGGAUGUUAAAUACUCAAAACUGUCUGAGUUUAAAACUCUAUAUUAUAUUUUGGAUGACUGUAAUUUCGUACUUAAUUGCAAGUCAUACUCUAAAUAUUCUCUUUAUUUGGA